rnacentral:rRNA from 1 species
CCUACGGGUGGCAGCAGUGAGGAAUAUUGGGCAAUGGACGAGAGUCUGAACCAGCCAAGUAGCGUGAAGGAUGACUGCCCUAUGGGUUGUAAACUUCUUUUAUAUGGGAAUAAAAUGUUCCACGUGUGGGAUUUUGUAUGUACCAUAUGAAUAAGGAUCGGCUAACUCCGUGCCAGCAGCCGCGGUAAUACGGAGGAUCCGAGCGUUAUCCGGAUUUAUUGGGUGUAAAGGGAGCGUAGGUGGAUUGUUAAGUCAGUUGUGAAAGUUUGUGGCUCAACCGUAAAAUUGCAGUUGAAACUGGCAGUCUUGAGUACAGUAGAGGUGAGCGGAAUUCGUGGUGUAGCGGUGAAAUGCUUAGAUAUCACGAAGAACUCCGAUUGCGAAGGCAGUUCACUGGACUGCAACUGACACUGAGGCUCGAAAGUGUGGGUAUCAAACAGGAUUAGAUACCCCAGUAGUC